rnacentral:rRNA from 1 species
UUUAUGGAGAGUUUGAUCCUGGCUCAGGAUGAACGCUGGCGGCGUGCCUAAUACAUGCAAGUCGAGCGAACAGACGAGGAGCUUGCUCCUUUGACGUUAGCGGCGGACGGGUGAGUAACACGUGGGUAACCUACCUAUAAGACUGGGAUAACUUCGGGAAACCGGAGCUAAUACCGGAUAAUAUUUCGAACCGCAUGGUUCGAUAGUGAAAGAUGGCUCUGCUAUCACUUAUAGAUGGACCUGCGCCGUAUUAGCUAGUUGGUAAGGUAACGGCUUACCAAGGCAACGAUACGUAGCCGACCUGAGAGGGUGAUCGGCCACACUGGAACUGAGACACGGUCCACGGUCCAGACUCCUACGGU